AUUGAACGCUGGCGGCAGGCCUAACACAUGCAAGUCGAGCGGGGUUUUCGGACCCAGCGGCGGACGGGUGAGUAAUGCGUAGGAAGCUACCCGAUAGAGGGGGAUACCAGUUGGAAACGACUGUUAAUACCGCAUAAUGUCUACGGACCAAAGUGUGGGACCUUCUGGCCACAUGCUAUCGGAUGCGCCCACGUGGGAUUAGCUAGUUGGUGGGGUAAUGGCUCACCAAGGCGACGAUCCCUAGCGGGUUUGAGAGGAUGAUCAGCCACACUGGAACUGAGACACGGUCCAGACUCCUACGGGAGGCAGCAGUGGGGAAUAUUGGACAAUGGGCGCAAGCCUGAUCCAGCCAUGCCGCGUGUGUGAAGAAGGCCUUCGGGUUGUAAGGCACUUUCAGUAGGGAGGAAGGGUGUUGUGUUAAUAGCACAGCAUUUUGACGUUACCUACAGAAGAAGCACCGGCUAACUCUGUGCCAGCCGCCGCGGUAAAAC
rnacentral:rRNA from 1 species